rnacentral:rRNA from 1 species
GACGAACGCUGGCGGCGUGCUUAACACAUGCAAGUCGAACGGAAAGGCCCUGCUUUUGUGGGGUGCUCGAGUGGCGAACGGGUGAGUAACACGUGAGUAACCUGCCCUUGACUUUGGGAUAACUUCAGGAAACUGGGUCUAAUACCGGAUAGGAGCUCCUGCUGCAUGGUGGGGGUUGGAAAGUUUCGGCGGUUGGGGAUGGACUCGCGGCUUAUCAGCUUGUUGGUGGGGUAGUGGCUUACCAAGGCUUUGACGGGUAGCCGGCCUGAGAGGGUGACCGGCCACAUUGGGACUGAGAUACGGCCCAGACUCCUACGGGAGGCAGCAGUGGGGAAUAUUGCACAAUGGGCGGAAGCCUGUGGCAGCAACGCCGCGUGCGGGAUGACGGCCUUCGGGUUGUAAACCGCUUUCGCCUGUGACGAAGCGUGAGUGACGGUAAUGGGUAAAGAAGCACCGGCUAACUACGUG